UACGAAGGUCCCGAGCGUUGUUCGGAAUCACUGGGCGUAAAGGGAGCGUAGGCGGCGCGGUAAGUCAGAUGUGAAAUCCCGGGGCUCAACCCCGGAACUGCAUCCGAUACUGCCGUGCUAGAGGAUUGGAGAGGUAGCUGGAAUUCUUGGUGUAGCAGUGAAAUGCGUGGAGAUCAAGAGGAACACUCGUGGCGAAAGCGACUUCCUGGACCAAUACUGACGCUCAGGUGCGAAAGCGUGGGGAGCAAACAGG
rnacentral:rRNA from 1 species